AUGCAAGUCGAGCGGACAGAUGGGAGCUUGCUCCCUGAUGUUAGCGGCGGACGGGUGAGUAACACGUGGGUAACCUGCCUGUAAGACUGGGAUAACUCCGGGAAACCGGGGCUAAUACCGGAUGGUUGUUUGAACCGCAUGGUUCAAACAUAAAAGGUGGCUUCGGCUACCACUUACAGAUGGACCCGCGGCGCAUUAGCUAGUUGGUGAGGUAAUGGCUCACCAAGGCAACGAUGCGUAGCCGACCUGAGAGGGUGAUCGGCCACACUGGGACUGAGACACGGCCCAGACUCCUACGGGAGGCAGCAGUAGGGAAUCUUCCGCAAUGGACGAAAGUCUGACGGAGCAACGCCGCGUGAGUGAUGAAGGUUUUCGGAUCGUAAAGCUCUGUUGUUAGGGAAGAACAAGUACCGUUCGAAUAGGGCGGUACCUUGACGGUACCUAACCAGAAAGCCACGGCUAACUACGUGCCAGCAGCCGCGGUAAUACGUAGGUGGCAAGCGUUGUCCGGAAUUAUUGGGCGUAAAGGGCUCGCAGGCGGUUUCUUAAGUCUGAUGUGAAAGCCCCCGGCUCAACCGGGGAGGGUCAUUGGAAACUGGGGAACUUGAGUGCAGAAGAGGAGAGUGGAAUUCCACGUGUAGCGGUGAAAUGCGUAGAGAUGUGGAGGAACACCAGUGGCGAAGGCGACUCUCUGGUCUGUAACUGACGCUGAGGAGCGAAAGCGUGGGGAGCGAACAGGAUUAG
rnacentral:rRNA from 1 species